AAAAACAUAUACGCUGUAAGUGCGCUCACUUCCACUGCUCGCUGCCAUCUUCCAUUCCUGGCUUCUUCAGUUCACCUCCUAUACGCACACAUUCCCUGGUUUCGCUUUAGUCAGUCUUCAAAUUGUGAAACCCAAGAAAUAAGGAGAAAGAGAAAUGGUGGUAUCCAAGUCCAGGUAUGAGGAAAUCCGCCAAAAGAGGCUGGAAGAAAACAAG
rnacentral:misc_RNA from 1 species